rnacentral:rRNA from 1 species
CACGUAGGGUGCGAGCGUUGUCCGGAAUUAUUGGGCGUAAAGAGCUCGUAGGCGGUUUGUCGCGUCGAAUGUGAAAACCCGGGGCUCAACCCCGGGCCUGCAUUCGAUACGGGCAGACUAGAGUUCGGUAGGGGAGUCUGGAAUUCCUGGUGUAGCGGUGAAAUGCGCAGAUAUCAGGAGGAACACCGGUGGCGAAGGCGGGACUCUGGGCCGAUACUGACGCUGAGGAGCGAAAGCGUGGGGAGCAAACAGG